ACUUCAGUAUGGUCCCUAAAAGGUGCCCCAGGCUGAGAUGAAUCAUAGCAGGUGCACAGCUGUGCUCUACUGAUGACUUUGCCUUUACAGCCUGCAGCAUCAUGGGGCCACACAGAUGCUUCAGUCCCAGCUGCUGGUGGGAGAAGGUCCAAGAUCUUGCCUCUGGCUUGGAGUCUUUCAGAAUGAUUGCCCGCAGAAGAACAAGAAGGCAGAGGCCACCAAAACGGCUUUCUGGCAUGAUUUACUUGCUGCAAUGCCUGUGACAAUGUGCAUUAAUUUCACCGGGGGUGAACAGAAAUGCACAGAGGCUAUUGAAUGUUGGGUUGUCCCUAGGCAUGUCUGAAUUGAAUCCCGAAGGACAUGACCUGGCCUUGGUAUCCACAGAGUGUUGGAGGUUGAGGUUCCAGGAUGAACCUGGGGUCAGCUUUAAUUCCUCAAGGGAGGCUGGACUAGGCUCCUCUGGGAAAACACCCAGACAGAAUAUGGGCUCCCAGUUAUAAGGAUCCUUCAUAAAAGACAGAAGUCUCUUGAAGAAACUUAACCCCCAACAUAACCAACCUUACUAUAAUUUUUUAACCAUAAAUGAUUUAAAGAGCAGCUAGUCCAUAAUCUUAGCUUUUAUUAAAAAUAAGUUGUUGCUUUGUCAUGAAGACAUUAAUAAAACAUUUUCUUUUGUAGCAUAUUUUAAGCAAGUUACUUACAGCUCUCUGCCACAGUCUAGCAGGCUUCAUUUUGUUUUCCUCAGAGCAAAGAUGGAAUUCAGAGGUGGAACAACAAACUAAUUCAUGAAGUUUUGUGACAAUGGCCUGACAGACCGAAAUUCUACAUUUCCAACUUUAUUUGCAGUCGCUGGUUAUUCUGGUCAUUUAAAGAGAUGCAAUCUGCUACUAGGACAGUAUAGGAGUAGCUGGUACCAAACGUGUGUGCAAAUCUAAAAAUGGACCUGAGAGCUCAAUAAAAAUUCUUGGCACGGCCCAGCUAUUUGGUUUGGCCUUUCUGUGCAGGUCUACUCCACUUCUUCCAACAGUGUUUUUGUAUCAUCAGAAUCCAAGUACAGUGGCAGUAAAACGCCUUGAGAGCAAAGUGGACUUGGGGCAAAGUCCCAGGAUGCUACAGCAAGGGCGUGGUGGGCACUGCCAGCUGAUGUAAACACACAGGCAUGGUGUGCUUGAUGAGCUCCUAUCUGACCUUGAAUCCAUAGCUGUGUGGGGAGAGCAACCAGCUGCUGAGCUCCAAGGUGAGUGUAGGGUCUGGCUUCAGAAAUUGUUUCUCUUGCACUUCAGCUCACUUUAUUCUCUUUAAUCCUUUACUCAGCUGCCUGUUGAGAAGGAAUAAAACCCCAGAGAACAGAGUACUUCUUAUUUUUGUGAGGAGCUGAUAAGGAAUUGUCUUAAUUACAAACAUCCUCCUGAGAGGGAGACAGCUCACCUACUUAGCCUCACUUUGGCAGUGAUGUACCAGCUCUCCU
rnacentral:lncRNA from 7 species